rnacentral:rRNA from 1 species
CCUUGUACACACCGCCCGUCAAGCCAUGGAAGCUGGGGGUACCCGAAGUCGCUGUGCCAACCGCAAGGAGGCAAGCGCCUAAGGUAAAACCAGUGACUGGGGCU